AUUGAACGCUGGCGGCGUGCUUAACACAUGCAAGUCGAGCGGUAGCAGGCGUAGCAAUACGUGCUGACGAGCGGCGAACGGGUGAGUAAUGCUUCGGAAUCUUCCUAGUAGUGGGGAAUAACCUGGGGAAACUCAGGCUAAUACCGCAUACGACCUACGGGUGAAAGCAGGGGAUCGCAAGACCUUGCGCUAUUAGAUGAGCCGAAGUCGGAUUAGCUAGUUGGUGAGGUAACGGCUCACCAAGGCGACGAUCCGUAGCUGGUCUGAGAGGACGACCAGCCACACUGGGACUGAGACACGGCCCAGACUCCUACGGGAGGCAG
rnacentral:rRNA from 1 species